rnacentral:rRNA from 1 species
GACGAACCGAGCGAACGUUGUUCGGAAUCACUGGGCUUAAAGGGCGCGUAGGCGGAUUUGCAAGUCCGGGGUGAAAUCCCACAGCUCGACUGUGGAACUGCCUCGGAUACUGUGAGUCUCGAGGGUGGCAGGGGUAUGCGGAACUAUCGGUGGAGCGGUGAAAUGCGUUGAUAUCGAUAGGAACUCCGGUGGCGAAGGCGGCAUACUGGUCCACUUCUGACGCUGAGGCGCGAAAGCCAGGGGAGCAAACGGG